rnacentral:rRNA from 1 species
UAAGUGGAUUAGCGGCGGACGGGUGAGUAACACGUGAGUAACCUGCCUUAGACAUUGGGAUAGCCUCGGGAAACCGGGAUUAAUACCAAAUAAAAUCAUAAUGACACAUGUCAUAACGAUCAAAACUCCGGUGGUCUAAGAUGGACUCGCGUCCCAUUAGCUAGUUGGUAGAGUAAAAGCCUACCAAGGCGACGAUGGGUAGCCGGCCUGAGAGGGUGAACGGCCACAUUGGAACUGAGAAACGGUCCAAACUCCUACGGGAGGCAGCAGCC